rnacentral:rRNA from 1 species
AUUGAACGCUGGCGGCAUGCCUUACACAUGCAAGUCGAACGGCAGCGGACCUUCGGGUGCCGGCGAGUGGCGAACGGGUGAGUAAUAUAUCGGAACGUACCUUUCAGUGGGGGAUAACGUAGCGAAAGUUACGCUAAUACCGCAUAUUCUGUGAGCAGGAAAGCAGGGGAUCGCAAGACCUUGCGCUGAUUGAGCGGCCGAUAUCAGAUUAGCUAGUUGGUGAGGUAAAGGCUCACCAAGGCGACGAUCUGUAGCGGGUCUGGGAGGAUGAUCCGCCACACUGGAACUGAGACACGGUCCAGACUCCUACGGGAGGCAGCAGUGGGGAAGUUUGGACAAUGGGCGCAAGCCUGAUCCAGCAAUGCCGCGUGCAGGAUGAAGGCC